GGUGAGUGGCGAACUGGUGAGUAACACGUGGGAAACCUGCCCAGGAAGCGGAGGAUAACACCUGGAGACAKAUGCUAAUACUGCAUAACAACUUGGACCGCAUGGUCCGAGUUUGAAAGAUGGCUUCGGCUAUCACUUUUGGAUGGYCCCGCGGCGUAUUAKCUAKAUGGUGGGGUAACGGCUCACGAUGGCAAUGGUACGUACCCGACCUGAGAGGGUAACCGGCGACAUUGGGACUGAUACACGGCCCAAACUCCUACGGGAGGCAGCAGUAAGGAAUCUUCCACAAUGGACGAAAGUCUGAUGGAGCAACGCCGCGUGAGUGAAGAAGGGUUUCGGCUCGUAAAACUCUGUCGUUAAAGAAGAACAUAUCUGAGAGUAACUGUUCAGGUAUUGACGGUAUUUAACCAGAAAGCCACGGCUAACUACGUGCCAGCAGCCGCGGUAAUACGGGUGGCAAGUGUCCUGUCCGGAUUUAUUGGGCGUGAAGCGAGCGCAGGCGGUUUUUUAAGUCUGAUGUGAAAGCCUUCGGCUCAACCGAAGAAGUGCAUCGGAAACUGGGAAACUUGAGUGCAGAAGAGGACAGUGGAACUCCAUGUGUAGCGGUGAAAUGCGUAUAUAUAUGGAASAACACCAGUGGCGAAGGCGGCUGUCUGGUUCUGUAACUGACGCUGAGGCUCGAAAGUAUGGGUAGCAAACAGGAUUAGAUACCCUGGUAGUCCAUACCGUAAACGAUAGAUGCUAAGUGUUGGAGGGUUUCCGCCCUUCAGUGCUGCAGCUAACGCAUUAAGCAUUCCGCCUGGGGAGUACGGCCGCAAGGCUGAAACUUAAAGGAAUUGACGGGGGCCCGCACAAGCGGCGGAGCAUGUGGUUUAAUUCGAAGCUACGCGAAGAACCUCACCAGGUCUUGACAUACUAUGCAAAUCUAAGAGAUUAGACGUUCCCUUCGGGGACAUGGAUACAGGUGGUGCAUGGUUGUCGUCAGCUCGUGUCGUGAGAUGUUGGGUUAAGUCCCGCAACGAGCGCAACCCUUAUUAUCAGUUGCCAGCAUUAAGUUGGGCACUCUGGUGAGACUGCCGGUGACAAACCGGAGGAAGGUGGGGAUGACGUCAAAUCAUCAUGCCCCUUAUGACCUGGGCUACACACGUGCUACAAUGGAUGGUACAACGAGUUGCGAACUCGCGAGAGUA
rnacentral:rRNA from 1 species